rnacentral:lncRNA from 1 species
UAGAAGAGUGGGAGUGUGGUUAAUAGAGGGUGAAGCCCCACCCCCAAUAUGUGAGGACAUGGGGGGGGUGUUAAACACUGUGUCACCCCCCCCCAGUACGCCCAGGCCUUGGCUGAAUUCAUCCGGAGCCAAAGCAUCCGAGAGCUCAAAGUGUGGACCAGCCAGCUGAAGAGAACAAUCCAGACGGCUGAAGCUCUGGGGGUGCCCUAUGAGCAGUGGAAGGCCCUCAAUGAGAUAGAUGCGGUGAGGGAUUUAAGGGGGGGGGUCUCCAAAUAGCCCCCUGUACCAUUUAAAUGCCCUCAAUGAGUGUCAGUCUGGAAGGGGGGGGGUCUCCAAAUAGCCCCCUGUACCAUUUAAAGGCCAUCAAUGAGAUCUAUGUAUUGUCAGCCUGGGAGAGGGGGGGUCUCCAAAUAGCCCCCUGUAGCUCCUAAAGGCCCUCAAUGAGUGUCAGUCUGGAAGGGGGGGGGGUCUCCAAAUAGCCCCCUGUAGCUCCUAAAGGCCCCAAUGAGUGGUGUGGGGAUGGUAGGGGUCCGAUGCUGUCAGGGUGUGCAGUGUGUUCUGUGGGUUAUAUU